GACGAACGCUGGCGGCGUGCUUAACACAUGCAAGUCGAACGGAAAGGCCUCUUUCGGGGGGUACUCGAGUGGCGAACGGGUGAGUAACACGUGAGUAACCUGCCCUUGACUUUGGGAUAACUUCAGGAAACUGGGGCUAAUACCGGAAAGGAGCUCCUGCUGCAGGGUGGGGGUUGGAAAGUUUCGGCGGUUGGGGAUGGACUCGCGGCUUAUCAGCUUGUUGGUGGGGUAGUGGCUUACCAAGGCUUUGACGGGUAGCCGGCCUGAGAGGGUGACCGGCCACAUUGGGACUGAGAUACGGCCCAGACUCCUACGGGAGGCAGCAGUGGGGAAUAUUGCACAAUGGGUGGAAGCCUGAUGCAGCAACGCCGUGUGCGGGAUGACGGCCUUCGGGUUGUAAACCGCUUUCGCUCAUGACGAAGCUUUGUGUGACGGUAGUGGGUAAAGAAGCACCGGCUAACUACGUG
rnacentral:rRNA from 1 species